rnacentral:rRNA from 1 species
GACGAACGCUGGCGGCGUGCCUAAUACAUGCAAGUCGAGCGGACUUAAAAAGCUUGCUUUUUAAGUUAGCGGCGGACGGGUGAGUAACACGUGGGCAACCUGCUUGUAAGACUGGGAUAACUUCGGGAAACCGGAGCUAAUACCGGAUAAUCCUUUUCUACUCAUGUAGAAAAGCUGAAAGGCGGUUUACGCUGUCACUUACAGAUGGGCCCGCGGCGCAUUAGCUAGUUGGUGAGGUAACGGCUCACCAAGGCGACGAUGCGUAGCCGACCUGAGAGGGUGAUCGGCCACACUGGGACUGAGACACGGCCCAGACUCCUACGGGAGGCAGCAGUAGGGAAUCUUCCGCAAUGGACGAAAGUCUGACGGAGCAACGCCGCGUGAGUGAUGAAGGUUUUCGGAUCGUAAAACUCUGUUGUUAGGGAAGAACAAGUACGAGAGUAACUGCUCGUACCUUGACGGUACCUAACCGGAAAGCCACGGCUAACUACGUG